rnacentral:rRNA from 1 species
GGAAUUUUGGACAAUGGGCGCAAGCCUGAUCCAGCAAUGCCGCGUGAGUGAAGAAGGCCUUCGGGUUGUAAAGCUCUUUUGUCAGGGAAGAAACGGGCCUUUCUAAUACAGGGGCCUAAUGACGGUACCUGAAGAAUAAGCACCGGCUAACUACGUGCCAGCAGCCGCGGUAAUACGUAGGGUGCAAGCGUUAAUCGGAAUUACUGGGCGUAAAGGGUGCGCAGGCGGUUUUGUAAGACUGUCGUGAAAUCCCCGGGCUCAACCUGGGAAUGGCGAUGGUGACUGCAAGGCUAGAGUUUGGCAGAGGGGGGUAGAAUUCCACGUGUAGCAGUGAAAUGCGUAGAUAUGUGGAGGAACACCGAUGGCGAAGGCAGCCCCCUGGGUCAAAACUGACGCUCAUGCACGAAAGCGUGGGGAGCAAACAGGAUUAGAUACCCUGG